rnacentral:rRNA from 1 species
AGAGUUUGAUCCUGGCUCAGGAUGAACGCUAGCUACAGGCUUAACACAUGCAAGUCGAGGGGAAACGACAUCGAAAGCUUGCUUUUGAUGGGCGUCGACCGGCGCACGGGUGAGUAACGCGUAUCCAACCUGCCCACCACUUGGGGAUAACCUUGCGAAAGUAAGACUAAUACCCAAUGACGUCUCUAGAAGACAUCUGAAGGAGAUUAAAGAUUUAUCGGUGAUGGAUGGGGAUGCGUCUGAUUAGCUUGGUUGGCGGGGUAACGGCCACCAAGGCGACGAUCAGUAGGGGUUCUGAGAAGAAGGUCCCCCANAUUGGAACUGAGACACGGUCCAAACUCCUACGGGAGGCA